rnacentral:rRNA from 1 species
UAGAUACCCUAUUAUUCUAAUAAGAAAUUUAAGAUACUUGAGUAGUAAAUAGUUAUGAUCUUGAAACUUAAAGAAUUUGGCGGUAUUUUAGUCCUAUUAGAGGAACCUGUUCAAUAAACGAUAUAACACGGAGAAUUUUUCUUCUUUUUGUAAAUACAGUUUGUAUAUCGUCAUUAUUAAGAUGAUUUAUAUAAAUAUACAUCGAGGUAAAAUUAUUUUUUAAAAUAUUAGAUCAAGGUGCAGCUUAUAAAGAAGUUGGAAAUGGGUUACAAUAAAAUAAAUUUAAAACGGAGGUAAAGGUUGAAUAAUUUUUAUUGAAGGUGGAUUUAGGAGUAAUUAUAUUUUAACAUGGUAUAUUGAUUACGGCUCUAAAAUAUGUACACAUCGCCG